UACGUAGGAGACGAGCGUUGUCCGGAGUUACUGGGCGUAAAGGGUGCGCAGGUGGCGGCGCGCGUGGGGGGUGAAAUCGCCCGGCUUAACUGGGCGGGGGCCUUCCAGACGGCGUGGCUUGAGCAGCGGAGGGGGACGUGGAAUUCCGGGUGGAGCGGUGAAAUGCGUAGAGAUCCGGAGGAACACCGGUGGCGAAGGCGGCCCGCUGGGCUGUUGCUGACGCUGAGGCGCGACAGCGUGGGGAGCAAACAGG
rnacentral:rRNA from 1 species